CUAAACCCUGAUCGAGAGCUCUUGGUCGAGGUCUCCAUCGCCCCUUCCAUAUGCGGUCGCCUCCUGCCGCAAUCUGGCUAUGGUCCUGGUUGUGGUCUCCAUCGCGUAACCUAAGUGUGUUCUCCUCCUCGCAGGCAUCUCCUCUCUCUCUCCCCCACAAUUGUCUUUCUCAUGCCUUUCGUUUCAUUGGCGGCGUGUUAGAUCCAGCAGCAAAUCACAUCUCCAGACUAAAUCUAAUUCCACCAAUUCAUGGCGGAUAGGCCUUGGCCUCUUCCUCCUGGUGCCAUUAGCCUCUCUCUCUCUAUGUGUGUUUGUUGCAGAUGAUGGAGAGAACACAACAAGUUAGAUCCAGCGGCAAAUAUGAGAAAAGCAAGAUUUGCAUGUAGGUGAUGAACAUCAUCAAAUUGGAUGCCUCACAAGUUAUACAUAAUUGGGCGUUGCGGAUAGGCCUUGGCCACUUUCUCCUGGUGAUGAACGUCAUCUACUGAUUAUAUAAUUGGGUGCCUCCACUGGUUAUACAAAAUUGGUCGAUGAAGUGCAAUGCAGGACCAUCCACUAUACAGUGAUCUUUUAAACAUCACCCAACCCAAUCUUUUGAUUAGGUAAAUAUAAUGUUGUUUGUCUGCAGUAUGUCAGUUCUAACAUUGUUUAGUCUAUCCAUCCAGUGUGCAUAUGGGAAGCUCUUCUUUGCUGCAGCACCGUCGAGGCCGAGGACGCGGUGAUAAGCUCACCAUUAAGCAACUGGUCUGGUGAUGGAUUAAGUGUGUGAAGAAACUUUUGAUCUAAGGACGACCGGUGAAUCAUUUCGCAGGCUAGCAUCGUUGUUGGGCACAGGGGUUAUUACCAGCAAGGUAGAAAAUACUCAUAUUCCAUGCAAUAGAUUUUUCAUGCAGGAAGAAUUUUUGACCUUAUCCACAAAAGCCACCAGAUCACAAAAUUGGAUGGAUUCUAAUUAACCUUUCUGAAUGCGUGAGACUGAAUUAGAGCAGAACUAUGGCAACCCCGCCAUGCAAAAUAGGCCAUGCAUGAAUCAUAUAUCUCAUCAGGUCACCAUCUUGCCAAACUUUGCACUGCCUAAUGCAUCGGAGGUAAGAGUUGCCUAUCUUCUCUUGAAUUGGUUUUUUGACUGUUAGGGUACUAACAGUCAGAGGUAGUAUAAUAUUUUCUGAUUUUGUAUUGCUAAUAAGUAACAAUUGAAAUUGAUAUCAGUCCAUGCACUAUAAUUUUUUAAGUUAAUCUAGGGUAAAAAUAUGAUAAAUACGUGUUUGGUUUUUGAGAGUAGACAGAUAUGUUAAACAUGUUUUGUUUCUUAUUUUGCAACGUAUAUAUGAUCAGAUUAUUUGUCCAGUAACCCAUACCUAUGUAAACGUAUGAAAUAACUCAAUGGUAGUCAAACCCAAUACACCUCCCGUACCCCAACUAAAUGCAACCGAAUUCCAGGGUGACAUGUUAUUAAGGUCAAUCUUACAUACAAGCAACAAAACUAAGCAUGCACCCAAGAAUAGUCUUCAUUCAGGAAUGAUAGUUACUUUCUUUUACACUGUUCAUUGUUUUGGAACGUGAACAUGAUAAACUUUAUUAUUAAUGUCAUGUCACUACUGGAAUCGCUGAAUUCGCCAAGUUUGCAGCGUACUCAGCAAAGCCUAGAAACAACUUGGCAUUGUGUUUGCCCAGUUCUGUUCUCGGCAAACGACACUUGGUUGGACGGACGUGAGCAAUCUUGAACUUUUCUAAGUUCUUAUUAUUGGGCACUCGACAAACAUUUUAAACAGCCAUUGCUGAGUUUCGAAAAAAGAUAACUCGGCAAACUACCACGUUAGGAAUAACAUGCAUAUUAAAUUGUUGGAAUGACAUAUAUAGGGUGCAGAUAACGGAUACGAGGUAUGUGCAUCGAUUUGUUUGAUUAUAUAAAUAAGAUUUCAGGUAAAUAUUGUAUCAGUAUUUCGCUAUAUAUGGAUUUACGUUUUCUUUUGGUUUCAUUAUAUACAAAAUUAUUUUAGUAAGGUCUCUGUAUAUACCUUAUUAGACAAAUUUCGUGUGAAUUCAAAAUAGAGACUAGAACAGUUUACUUUUGUCUAUAUGUUACUAUAUUAGCAUUUAUUUUUAGGAAAUGAUUAAUAUAAUGAAAGUGAACAUGUUUAGAUCAAUACAUUUUGAUGUGAUCGAAGCAAAGCAGAUGCACCGAAGUGCAACCAUCUCAACAUGUACACAAGCUAAACGGAAUGACCAUUUUCUCUAUGCAUGAUUUAUUUUAUCAGGUAUGGUCUAGGCUUUUGUCUUCUAAUGAAAAAAGUUUUGAACAAGAAAAGAAGUACUUAAAAAUGGUCGCUGAUGCGUGCAUCUAUUCCUUUUCUGUUUAAAAAGGUCUAAUUGUUUGUGUUGUUGAUUUUGUGAGGCUCUUUCAUCUUAUAUAUAAAGUAAACUUCCUAAGUAGUCCAGAGACUGGUCGGAAUAGGUGCCAAGUUAAUGAACAAUCAACAAAAUUUAAUUUCAAUGUGUUGAAGGGAUCAUAUACCAAGAUUUAGAGGUUGUUAAAUAAUUGGAUUAUAUUUAUCUAGAUGGAGAACAUUUGAGUAUAUGCGAGUCAUUUCAUAUUCUGUUAUUUUAAGUAUAAAAUUUUAACUACGAUAAGAUUUGACUGUUGAACAUGUAUGGUCAUAGGACAAGAUGGAACUGUUCCAAUAGAAAUUUGAGAAUUCCCAAUUUAAUUACUCCCGGUAAAUGAAAUGUAGUCUCAAAACUCAACCUGUUGCAGAUUACUAAACUAGCCCGUGCGAAUGCACGGGUUGACGACUAGUUUAUUCAUAAUUUGGUUGCCAAAUCUCAUGCGUGCAAUGCAUGUGUACCUUACUCUACUCUA